GAUCCUGCAGAAGUACGAUCGAUCGAGACUGCUGACAUUGCCGUGAAUUCGAAUACAAUUCGAAUAAAGCAAACAGGUUAAAGCACAAGGCUUAAGAAGGCUCUUUACCAACCGGUUGAUGGCAAAAUUCAACAUGAAGGGGAAGGGGAAAAAGCAGAAACUGCCUCUGGAGACGACUAAAACUUAUGAAGCAAUUAAUGGUAC